rnacentral:rRNA from 1 species
UACCAGCACCCCGAGUGGUCGGGACGAUUAUUGGGCCUAAAGCAUCCGUAGCCGGUCCUGCAAGUCUUCCGUUAAAUCCAGCUGCUCAACAGAUGGGCUGCGGGGGAUACUACAGGGCUAGGAGGCGGGAGAGGCAAGCGGUACUUUAUGGGUAGGAGUAAAAUCCGUUGAUCCAUAGAAGACCACCAGUGGCGAAGGCGGCUUGCCAGAACGCGCUCGACGGUGAGGGAUGAAAGCUGGGGGAGCAAACCGG